GUUACAGGGGACUUUUCUUUUGGUGUUUUUCUGUGUUUUUCAUUUUCUGUGAUAAACAGCAUCCGGCCACACUCCUGCUGAAAUGAUAAGGUGGGCAGCACCGUGACCGCGGGGGAUUUUGAACUGGGUCUAGGUGAGCCCUACUCCUCACUUGUGGGAGUGAACCAAGGGGCAGAGGCAGGCCCCCAAGGCCCCUCUGGCCCCCAGCUCCUCUGAAGGACAUGGUUCCUACACAGAGACAUGCCAGCUGCUUGAAGAGAGGCAUCGUAGAGAGAAAACUCGGGGGGAAAGAAAGUUAUCUUUAAUUAAAUGACAUGAAAGUCAGUGUCCACAUAAAGGCCCUUUCUGACUGCUGUUAGCCCAACAUGGAUGCCUGGGACCAGCCUCCCGCCCUCACCUGAGGAAGUUUAAGGUUGAUGGUUGAAACGUUUCAGGAAGCUUUCUCGUCGCAUGACACCGACCCCUGGUUUAUCUCAAGGUUGCACGCAUGUGUGCUCAGUUGUUAAGUUGUGUCUAACUCUUGUGGCCCCACGAGCUACAGCCUACCAGGCUCCUCUGUCCAUGGGAUUUCCCAGGCAGGAAUACUGGAGCAGGUUGCAUUUCCCUUCUCCAGGGAUUCUCAAUCCUGACCAGGGAUUGAACCCACAUGCCCUGCAUUGGCAGGCAGAUUCUUUUACCUCCAGUGCCACCUGGCAAGUCCCAUCUCCAGGUGAGUUCACGGUCUUUUUUUCUUACUCAAGAGGCAAUUCUUCUGCUUCUGGGUUGAUUCACAGUGAGUGGUGUUCAAUUGUGCUCUGGGAACGUUGUGUGCUUUGUUUGGAGACUGGUUCAUAGUUACGUCUCGUAUUUCAGUAGGCAGACACCGUUUCCAUUUAGCAAGGGCUCCUGGCCUACUUGUAAGGGCUGUGCUUCCAAUGAUGGAUUUUUCUGAGGUGUUAUUUUGAUGUUUGAUUUAGCAGGUGCAUGCUGGGGCUGCCCAGGUGUUGAAGUGCCUCUGGGUGAAGGAUGGAGUCUUAGGCCUGUGGGGACAAAGAGGCUUCCUGGGCCAGGCUGCUUGUUGUGGUGGGAUCCCCCUUGCCUGGGUUCCCCAGAGGUCCCUCCGUCUCUCCAUGGGCAAGGGGAGUGCCAGGACUGGUGGGGGCAAAUACCAAGGAGAGGAACUGGAGAUGAAGGAGUGAUUCCCAGGAGGAUGCUGCAGGCAGACGUGUGGGCAGCCUGCAGGCGUGAGGUUUGCUGCUGCUUCCUGCUGAGGACCACUUGCCUAGAAGUGUAGGCAGUGGGCCUAGGAGGUGGCAGCUUCUGAAGGUGCUUCGGUGGAGAGAGUUGGCAGGAGCUCCCUGGGGUUACUUGGGACUCUGGAGGCCAAGUCUCAGAUGGGUCCUGAGCCAAGGGGGCUUAAGUAUAUGUAAGCUGACCGCUCCCCAGUGGGAAGGGCAGUCCUGAGGCUGAGAUGAGAGUGGAUGGAGGCACCCCUAGCUACUGGGAAGCAGGAGCAAGGGAGCCCGGGACACCAGGCACAUUACACGGCCCACUCCUGAGAAAGUCCAAGUGCACCUUGUCUGUGCUGUGCCUCCCAGUGUCCCAGGCAGUCGGCGGGGGCAGUUAUCAUCAUUUUGUAGCCAAGGAAAGCUCACCUCAACCAGCUGCCCAUUGCCGUCAUAACAGAACUGACUUGUUCUCAAGAUGACUACACCCAGUGGAAGAAAAUAUUAACUCUUCAUCUCCUCCCGUGAAUGAGGAACCGCCCCCCCCCCAAUAUCCCAAGCAUAUGUU
ensembl:lncRNA